UACGAGGGGUGCAAGCGUUAUCCGGAUUUACUGGGCGUAAAGCGUUUCGUAGGCGGCUUUAUAAGUUACACUUCAAAGACCGGGGCUCAACCUCGGAAAGGGGUGUAAUACUGUGAGGCUAGAUGCAUUUCGGGGCUUCUGGAACUGUCGGUGUAGGGGUGAAAUCCGUUGAUAUCGACAGGAACUCCGAGGGCGAAGGCAGGAAGCUAGGAAUGUCAUAACGCUGAGGAACGACCGCUAGGGGAGCGAA
rnacentral:rRNA from 1 species